AACCCACCUUAGAAAUCCAUCU
rnacentral:miRNA from 1 species